rnacentral:rRNA from 1 species
UACGUAGGGAGCGAGCGUUGUCCGGAUUCAUUGGGCGUAAAGAGCUCGUAGGCGGCUUGAUAAGUCGGAUGUGAAACCUCCAGGCUCAACCUGGAGUCGCCAUCCGAUACUGUCAUGGCUAGAGUCCGGUAGGGGCCCACGGAAUUCCUGGUGUAGCGGUGAAAUGCGCAGAUAUCAGGAGGAACACCGGUGGCGAAGGCGGGUCUCUGGGCCGAUACUGACGCUGGAGGAGCGAAAGCGUGGGGAGCGAACAGG